GGGUAAAAAGAAUAAACAUGCCUUUGGUGGUUCAAGCUUUUUUGAAAUAAUAAGAGAUGCUAUAGCUACAAGUCAAAAAUGUGCAACAUGGACAACAAUAUGGAACUAGUGUGCAAUAUACCUAAAAUACGCCCUGAAAUAUCGGGAAUGUGUCUAGCAAAAGGACUAACAUUUUAAAUAAAAUUAAGUAUUCA